rnacentral:rRNA from 1 species
UACAGAGGGUGCGAGCGUUAAUCGGAAUUACUGGGCGUAAAGCGUGCGCAGGCGGUUUAGUAAGACAGGCGUGAAAUCCCCGGGCUCAACCUGGGAACUGCGCUUGUGACUGCUAAGCUAGAGUACGGCAGAGGGGGGUGGAAUUCCGACGUGUAGCAGUGAAAAUGCGUAGAGAUGUGGAGGAACACCAAUGGCGAAGGCAGCCCCCUGGGUCGAUACUGACGCUCUGCACGAAAGCGUGGGUAGCAAACAGG